rnacentral:rRNA from 1 species
UACAGAGGUCUCAACCGUUGUUCGGAUUCAUUGGGCGUAAAGGGUGCGUAGGCGGUCGCGCAAGUCGGAUGUGAAAUCUCAGGGCUCAACCCUGAAACUGCAUUCGAUACUGCGUGGCUAGAGUGCUGGAGAGGAGACUGGAAUUUACGGUGUAGCAGUGAAAUGCGUAGAUAUCGUAAGGAAGACCAGUGGCGAAGGCGAGUCUCUGGACAGCAACUGACGCUGAGGCACGAAGGCCAGGGGAGCGAACGGG